AAUGAGUCACAUCCAUUGAUAGCUUUUUGCAGCAGGAUGUUUGAUUAAAACAAACAGCAGACUUACGCUCACAAAAUGAAUGGCAUAAUUAGAUGCUAUCUGUUUUCCAUCACUGUGUGCUCUGAACAAAAAAAUGCAUGUAAGAUUAAUGUGUGUAUUUAAAUGAGAUGGCGUGUCAGUACAGACUUAGUGCUGAUCACUGUCACUGCAAUGUAUUCUAAUAUAAUUAUUAAUAGUGUCAUAGAAGAAAAUACUAAAAUUAUACUGAACAACCUGUCCUCACAGUAAAAUGAAGUUUAGUGUUGCAGAGUGUCUAUGAACUCUAUACUCAGCCUGGCCUGUGCUCAGUGUCAUGCUGCCUGCAGAGUGGGGAAAAGGGUGACAUUCCUGUAUAUGGGCCUGUCGUGCCUCCAUCAGGAUUGCUGAGCAAGUUGUGUGUUUUGUACUGCUGGUUCUUUGCAUUUAGGGGAUUCUUAUGAGAGGAAAAGAGCUUCCAGUAGCUUUUCGUGACUGUCAGGAACAGAAAUGGCUACAGCCCAGGUUGCUGGUGGUAUAUGGUGACUGGGGUGAGGUAGUGGGAACUGAGCACAGUCCCAGAGAUGAGAGGAAGGGUCCAACAAACAAGAGUGAGAAGAAUUAUCAGCCUGUUCUGCCUAGAUACCACCACAGGUGACCAGACAGCUCUGUAUUCUGAUUUAAUUGUUCCUUCUGCUAUUACUUUUCUAUUUGUGGCUGUAAAUGUUCUAAUGCUGCAAAAUUAGCUAUCCUCAGUGGUACAGUGAGAGCCUGACCUUGUCAAGCAUUGCACGUACUAGACAGGAAAGCACUGAACAAGAUUUUCCAGGUUGCUUCCUUUCUGUUAAAUCUUAAUGAUUUAUCUACUUGCAUUUCUAAGCCUGUUCAGUGCAAAUUGGGAAGCAUUUGAAGGAGCACAAGGUGAGGGAGAAAGCUGGCUGAUAAAACCUUCAAGUUGCUCCUUUUUAGUGCGAGGGCCAACCAAAGUUGUGGGUCUUCAUUACAUUGCUCUGUUGAAGUGUUAUAUACAGGGAAGCAAGUUACAAGGUACAGCCCAUUCCUCGGUUGCUUGUAAGGAAGAGCUCUUCACUGUCUUGACAUGAUAGGUGAGAAAGACAUUGGGAAAAGCACUCAGGUAAGAGGCUUAUAUUAAAGGUGCUCAUUUUCUCAUGUCCAGAGGCAAAGGAUGAGAAGAGGUAGCUUAGAAUGGCACUGCAUGAAUUCUCAUGGUUAUUUCUAUCCUCCCUUUAUGAAAGUGUGCAGUUCCAAAAGCUGAAACCAUUUGACUUCAGUCUUUGCUCUGAUUUUGAUGUGUGUGUGUUUGGUUGGUUUUGGUUUGUUUUUGUGUGAUGGUGUGGUUUUUUGUUUGUUUGUUUGGGUUUUUUUUGUUCAUUUGUUUGGGGUUUUUUUGUCUGUUGGUUUGUGUGUGGUUUGUUUGUUUGUUUGUUUUUGGUCAAAUGUUCCUGUGCUAACCGUUAGCUGUUUUCAGUGAGCAAUAAACCUGAACUUAACAUAGACAGCAGUAACAAAUGCUAUCUUGUAAAGCCAGAGAUAAGCUUGUCUGAGGUUUCUCAGGUUUGACUAGAUUAUUUAGUUUAUGUAAUUGUGAUUCUAGAAGAUAGUUUGUAAGCAUAUAUUACUUGACCCCUUCUGGCAGCCCAGUGCCUGUAUCAGAGCUGUACCUGUCAGAAUUGCUUUCUGCUGAGGUCCCAACCAUUAAAUGUUGCAGAAGGAGCUGGGUGCUGGGCACAGUUGGCUUUUGCAGUGCUGGAUGCCAGAGCUACAGCUGAGCUGGGGGCCCCAGCACCGCUGCUGCAUGUAUUAAGCAGCGUGACAAAGGUUUGGUGUUAAAGAUCGGCUCAGUACGACCUGCUGCCUGGCCUGUAAGGUCUUGCUGUGCUGAAGCUGAGACUAAACCCUGGAGUGGAAGCUGGGGGGAGGGGGUGGAAAUCGCCUGAUAAAACUUGUUACAGGGAAAUAGCUCAUGCUGAGUGUUGGCAAAAGCAGUGUCACCAAUGAUGAACAAGUGGCUAUGGUAAAUGCUCGCUUUCACACCUCUAAUUAGCUUGCUGUCAAAGCUGAUUCAAGCUAGUAAUUGAGCUGUGCAGUUUUGGAUCGGCUGUUCUAUGGGGGGUGGAGGAGAGUCAAGCUUCCAUGGAUUAUUUCUAAGUUAUCUCCAAUCAUAGCUGUGGCUUUUCAGAGAUGGGACCUAGGCUUGGUUAGCCCAGCUCUGUACUUGAUAUUCACUGCCUCAGAUCCUGAAAGAGCUCAACAGGCUUUGAGCUCAUCCCCUGUGGAGAGCAGGGCAGGGAUGUCUCUACCUGAGCAGGCAGGAGGCACAAACCAGCGGGGUGUGUGUGAUGUGCCCUGCCCCUCGGUGGGCUGCAGCCUCAAAUCCAGUGAUAACACCUGCUCAGUGUUGGUCUCUUGGCUUAUUGCUGUGUGUAGGUACAGCUGCUUCUGCAGGAGUAGCUCAGCAGGGCAAGACCGUUGUGUUUGAUGCCACAAGUGAGAUGUCCUUGGAACUCCUGCCCCUUGUCUGCUCUCAGGGUACAGGGCUGGUGGAAAUGAAUGUCACCUCCACCAGGGAGUGUCCCUUUCUGAGGGGCUCAGAAGGUGCCACCUGGGAGAUUUGUGUCCUGAGUUUUCCCAAACAUGAGACCCAACUGUCAUUUUUUUCAAAACCGAGUUAGAGUGAAAUAUAACCUAGCUGCAACCUGCAUUUACAGGUUUCUGACAUCCUGCGAGUUUGCUCAGUGGCUGUGUUUGUCCUGCUUGUAUCGGUCAAGCGAUGUAAUUUCCUGAACUAGUGUGAAUUGUCUAACUGACUUUUUGAAAUGAAUUUGCCUUAACAGUACAGGUCAAAAUCUGGCUAAGGUUAGAAACAAUGUUAGGAAACAGCAUAAAUUUAUGAGAAGGUGCAUGCAUGUCGAGGGUUUAGAUUGCUGAUCAAGCAAGGGUAGGAUUACUGAUAAAGGAGUGUAUAUACACUAGAACUUAUAUUGUGCUUCCUAAUUACCAAGUUUCCAGGUAAAUACCUCUUUCCUCUCCCCUUGCCCAGAGGUAACCAGUUUGCUUGUACCUAUGAAAGAGUUGUGGAGCAAUAGCUGACCUUGUCAGCUAAGACAACAAAGUACCUGGCACAUCCAGAGGUAAGUGGUGUUUGUCUGCCAUGUGUGCUCCAUCAGUGCCCAGGGACGGCUGGGUUGGGAGCAGAGGUGCUGUCAGGUGGGCUGCUGCAAAGGAGAAUAUCCAAGCAGGUGCAGCUGGCUCCAGAAAUUUCUCCUCAGGGUGAUUAUCCCUGUGCCCUGACAGAGGCUUUAAUGUUGAAUGGCCCACAGGAGCAGAACACUCGAGAAUUGUACGAAUACAAAGGGAAACAAGGGGUUAUUUAAUCUCUGGGAACCGUUUUAAAGGUCAAAAUGCUGCAUACUCUUAGGGAAGUUACUGCAAGAAUAACCGAUAAAGUAGAAAACAAAAAUGAGGGUAUAGGAGUAUCACUAUGGAGCUAAUCUGCUCCAUUUGUUUGUAUUUCCACUCGGUGCUUGUGUUGUAUCCAGUCUUCAAAUAGUGUUUGUUUACCACACAGUUCACUUUUUUUCUGGAUAAGAACUCUUUCUUUUUUUUUUCUAAAGAAAACAGUCCUUGUUAUGGCAUUGACCGCUGAAUUUUUGUCAACAUGAGAGUCACAGAGUCGUUGAACCCAGAGAUCAGAUCCUGCUCAAAGCAGGAUCAGCCACAGCGGGUUGCUCAGGGCCACGUCCACUUGGAUUUUGAGUAUCUCCAAAGGAUGGAGGCUCUAUGUGUCCUAGUGCUUGACCACCCCCAGGAUGUGAGUUCUUCAUGUUUCCCCACUGAGAACUGCGAGACUCCAGCUGUCACAGGGGAAAGAAGAAAGCAGAUUGCUGUGUGUUGGUAUGUUCUUAGUGCUUCAGACAUCUUAAUAUAUCUUAGUCUAUUAGUUUUGUUUCUGGCUAAGGUGACUGAGAUAAGCAUUGUAAAAAAUUCUAAGAAUGAUGGUAAUAAUUACUACUUGCAGUUUUCUAACUGCUAAGUAAUAGCAGUUACUCAAGAAAAAAGCUACGAUUCUCAGAAAUACCAUCAAAUAAAACCCUCAUGAAAAAUUAAGUUAGAUUCCUCUUAUGAUAGAAUUUAGCUGCUAUUCUAGUUCUUGCAAUGUAAUUUGGGUGGUUAUUUUACUAUCUGAUGUAAUUGUUGAGACACCUUUUGUUUUCCCUUUUUUUCUGCAAAUGCAUUCAGCAUUAAUGAAAUCUUCUGGUAACUACUUAGAAAAAACUUUAAAACAGUGAAAAAUGAAGUUACUAUAUACAAAAAUCAAAAAGUAAAUAAAAUUAAAACCAAUAUCUAACACUAUUAUUUCCACAGAAUACUGAACUUUUCUUUAGAAAAGGCAAUAUGGCAAAAAUCAUCGAUACUGAUCUCUUUCAUCUGUUAAUUCCAAAAAUACGUGUCUUAAAUAGACAGUUACUUUUGAGACUGUAACAAUCAAAAAUUGCAGCAAGGGAAAUUAUCAGUAGCUGAAAGGAAUAAAACACCCCUCGUAAUCCGAGAGGAUAAAGAACAGGUUGCUCAGAGAGGCUGUGGCAUAACCACUUUUGGAGAUUUUUCAAAACUUGUCCACACACAGCUCUUGGCAACCUGAUGCAACUCAUCACAAAGUCCUCUCGUCCCUGGAGGCUCUGUGAUGAGAGUUGAUGCCACAUUAUCUGGCUGAUUUCCCAACUGCUAAUAGGCAUACCCUCGAUUUAGUGAGGUACACUGAUAAAAUUUGCCAUCUGCUCACUUGCCAACAGUCAGAUGGUAGGAGCUGGAGAUUUUGUAAUAUUAAUGCCGUAAAAUAAGAGAAGAAAGCCUGGUUAUUGAGCUAUCAGUUCAUGUACCCACCUCAAAUUAGCGUUACAUUUACUCCAUUAUUUAUUUAUGCAAGCAAGAUUGUCUAACAGACAACACUGAACAAGUAUUUGUUGUGACUGUUAUUUAUGUGUAUAUCUAUUCAUAAACCCGAAGCUUUAACUGAUACUUUCAACGCAGAUUUCCUGUGGUUUUUUUAGGCUUCAUUUUUUGUAAAGGCUUCCCUAAGAGCUUUGGGCAAAUUUUGCCACAUAAAUAGUAAAACCACAAAAUUAAGUAUUAGUGUUGAAUUUGUUUUUCUUUUUGUAAAUUAUUAUGCAGUGAUGGAUCAUCAAAUCCUCUUCUUUAAUGAAAGGCUACAAUAAUACACAAGAAACCUCUAUAUAUCAACCUAACAUGUUUAUUGAUGACUUUCAGCUGAGUGAAACUACUGAUUCCAUUCAUAUUUAUCAAACCAGUCCUGUCUAUUCAAUGUUGCUAUUUGGAAAAAAUGGGCAGAAUGGAUGGGUUUUUCGCUGAGGUGAAUGAACAUUACAUGAGUAUUCAAUGAACGGUAAGUAAAUACCAAAAUUUGUUUGUUCUGUAUCUGUUCUUCUAGAUACAGAAUUUGUACGUCAUGCAACUGUGUACGAGGUGUUUUUUGGGGGGUUGUUUUUUCCCCUUUCCUUGCCCCUUAUUUUUGACUUUUCACCUUUUUCACUGAGAACGCAAAAGGAAUGGUACCUACCAACAGACAGAGCUGCAUUCAUGUCAUGUCUAAGUGGCAUCCUAUCAGCAAGGAAGGCUCGGGAAGGCUAACAAAGGAUUAUUUUCUAACAGAGGCGCAAAAAUAUGUAUCUUUAUUUCGAAGUAAUAUUUCAGUACUUAAAGUAACCACACACAUUGUUGAUAAAAUAUGUAUUAAAACUGCUGCCUUCACAGAUUUUCCUUUUAUUCCAUUCCAUUUUCCUUUCAUUUUGAAAACAAUCUGUGUAGGUUUUACUGAAACAGGAUAUAUGACACAGAUGUGGCUUGCUGGGGUUCGUUCCAUGUGAAAUCAUGUUACUUCAGGAGUGUUGUUUGUUUGUUUGUUUGUUUUUAUCCACUAGGACAUUUAUUUAUGUUUGUUGCAUGCCUGUAGAGAGCAGUACAAAUUUCAUUUACUCAAAUAUAUGCUAUAACAAGGUGAUUUUAAAAAUGCAUGGAAUUGUUCAAGUUCUUUAGGUAAACGCUUGAGAAAUAAUUUAACCACAUACAAGCUUUUUUCUUAUGUUUUUCAACACCCUUUUUAGUUGUGAUUAAUUUUUUUCUGUGCAGAUAUUUUUAUGACCAUUAUGAAAACUGAAGUAGCAAAAGACUAUAUAAUCCUGACUAUAUUGCAUAAUUUUUGUAGAGAACAUUUAAUGCCAUUGAUUUGCAUGGUAGUUGUUACAUUUACAUAUACCAAGAGCAUGAGCUGCCACUGAUUAGCCAGUACUUUUGCUCAAACUUUAGUUAUUCAGCUGUGGUUUGUAUAUACAAAAGCAUAAUAAACUGAAGUCUUAAAACUUCAUAAAAAAAAUCACAAAUGAAAGUUGUUACCUAAUAGAAUGGCAGCAGGAGCUCCAUCCACAAUUUCCUGUAGUUUUCUUGCAUUGCUACUUCCUUAUGACAGGAAUGGCUUUGAACAGCCAACACUGCACAAAAGAAGUAAACAAAUAAAAUAUAAAUUGCCAAUGUCUAUAGUUUACCUUAUUAGGUAAUGCCUGUCUGAAGAUACCUAGACCACAAAAUGAGAAUGCAGUAAUUUUUGACUAUUUUGAACACUAAGAUAUGCAGAAAUCAAUUAUGUGGUGAAGAACUUCUGAGGCAUUAUGAAAGCUAAGUUGUACUAACAUAUUACUUAAGGUUAAAAAAAAUGUGAAAGAAUGAAUUUGACUUGGGAACACAAGAAAAAAUGGCACAAAAGCACUUGCUCAAUAAAAUUAAUUAAUAUUGCUCAGGUAUUGCAGGAAACACUUUAUUCUAGGAAUCAGUGCAACCUCUUCUUAUGGAAAGAAAUUUAAGUUUGAAUCUGUGACAAACAUUACUGACAAACAUCACUAGCUAGAAUACAUAUAGGAUACAGGUAGAUUAUAUAUAGAGACCUUGGCUGUAGGGAUACACACAACUGCACUGAUCUUUAGAGCCUGACAGUUCUUAUCGGGAUAUGAGAAAUAAGAGGAUUUGGAGUUGAUUUUGGUGUUUAGCUCUGACUUAAAACUGUAAAAACUUUUAAUAAUACCUGGUCCCUUCUCAUUCCAUUAUUCUCAUUUACUGGGGCAAAAGUGUGCUCUGUUGGCAAUAAACAAAAACUCCUGUCUUGCAGGAAACAACCUGGCAUUACUCCUUGGUGUGCUGAAUUCCGCAGCCAUGCAGAAGUUGUGUGGGUUGGUACCUGGCACUCACAAUUCCCUUCUACCCCUUCCUUCUGUAAUGACUUAUUAGAGAGGCUUUAGUCCUUGAAUUUGCCCCUGGGUUGCCACAGCUACAGUUCUCAUGAAGAACAAAAACAGCACUAACAACUCAACAGAAAACUCGUUUAUCCACGUUCAGGCAUAGACUUUUGCAGAAGGGCUAGAAUGCAGCACGCUCAGAUGAUUUGAGUACACUGUGACUACUGAUAACGCAUCUGACAGUGCUUGUGCAAGAACUGCCACAGUAUGUGGGAGGGAAAAGGCUUCCAGUGGGCACUGAUGUAUCAUAGUAAUUGCUCGUGGUGCUUAUGGAAGUGUGGCAUCCUAUGGAAGGGCGCAAAGGGAGACUUUUCAUUGUGAACCUCCCCAGUGUUCCUGUGCUUCUCCAGCACCCAAUAAUGUGAUUUCCCUAAUCAAACCUGCAUCCUGACCAUCAUGUUUAACAACCACUGCAGGCCUGAACUUCGGUCUUUGUAGUAUAAGGCUCUGACUUAUCCAUUCAACCUGCGAUAAUGUAAAUGUCUGCAGGAAAUGCAGGCUUAUAUGUACAGUAAUGGGGUACACAUGGCAUUAGACCCUUACAAUGUGAAAAAAAGGUGCUAAAUGAUCUUCUUGUGCUGCUUGCAUGCUCUGGACUGGACUCUGUUGUUUUAUCACAUAUUUAACAAACUGAAAAUGCAUUUGACACAGUUAUUUGGAUGAGUGUGAUCUUACGUAUGUGUCCUCUCUUUAUUUAAAGUCAAAAGAUACCCAAGCAGAGCUCUUUGGAUUUAGCUCAACUACAGCAUGAGGGAGCUUGCAAGUCUGAAAAACAGGCUCUAGCAGAACCAGAGAUGUAACAGUCACUGAUGGACCUUUCCUUUAUCAGUUUACUUAUUUUUUUUCCUUAAACUAUUUGUGGUUUUGUAACAUCUUCUUGUUCUAAACUCCACAAUAUAUUUGUGUACUGUUUAAAGCAAUAUUUGUCUUAUCCUUGAUCACAUUCAUGUGGUCUUGAUGUAUUUUUGCGAUUAAAUGCUGUCGCUAAUA